GAUGAACGCUGGCGGCGUGCCUAAUACAUGCAAGUCGAGCGAAGCGGGGACGGGUGAGUAACACGUGGAUACCCUCCUCUAUGACUGGGAUAAAUUCGGGAAACCGGAGCUAAACCGGGUACUUAUAGAUGGACCCGCGCUGCAUUCGCUAGUUGGUGAGGUAACGGCUUACCAAGGCAACGAUGCAUAGCCGACCUGAGAGGGUGAUCGGCCACACGGGAACUGAGACACGGUCCAGACUCCUACGGGCGGCAGCAGUAGGGAAUCUUCCGCAAUGGGCGAAAGCCUGACGAAGAAACGCCGCGUGAGUGAUGAAGGUCUUCGGAUCGUAAAACUCGGUUAUUAGGGAAGCGGUACCUAAUCAGAAAGCCACGGCUAACUACGUGCCAGCAGCCGCGGUAAUAC
rnacentral:rRNA from 1 species